UACGAAGGGGGCUAGCGUUGUUCGGAAUUACUGGGCGUAAAGCGCACGUAGGCGGACUAUUAAGUCAGGGGUGAAAUCCCGGGGCUCAACCCCGGAACUGCCUUUGAUACUGGUAGUCUCGAGUCCGGAAGAGGUGAGUGGAAUUCCGAGUGUAGAGGUGAAAUUCGUAGAUAUUCGGAGGAACACCAGUGGCGAAGGCGGCUCACUGGUCCGGUACUGACGCUGAGGUGCGAAAGCGAGGGGAGCAAACGGG
rnacentral:rRNA from 1 species